GUCUGCUGCUGCUCACAUUCUUCACAUUUAUAGUCCACUUUUAAAAGUUCAGCAGACAGGUGCUCUGCUUUGGAGUGUGACGAUAUCGUCGGUGAUGUGGAGAGUGAAGUUUCCGUUUCACCCACAGCGUGCUUUAGGGCAGCCGGGUUGGACUUGAUGUUUGAAAUACUGACCGACAGCUCAGAUUUAACUGUCUGUAGUUCCGUUUUGAUGGGUGUUAAACUUUCACUCAAAGUCGCCAGGAGCUGGGUCUUUAAAAUAACCACCGUCUCGUUACAGAGUGAAAGUAGCAAUUCCUCCUUAAGGUCAGAGAUUGAAGCAUCUGAGGGCCUCUUCAAAAGAAGACGUAGUUGAUGAAGGCGUUCUGGAGGAGGACCAGAAAGACCACGACCAAGCAGCCUUGAGAUCUUAGGCAGCGUCUCCCUCAGGUCCCUCUCUAUCUCCCCACACAUCCACCAACCACUGGAACACAUCUCCAAAGUUCUGCCGGGCCAGCUCAGCUUCCCCUCAGAAGAAGUGGCGCCACCUGCCAGAUGAAGGAGCCUUUUGAGAGGCAGCUGGCAUCGUGAUUGGACUGUACUUUGGUCUGUUCCAAUCCAGCUUCAGCUCCAGAGACGGCAGGCGGGACGAGUCAACGGAGGCCGGGUGGACGAAGGCAUGCAGCUGAGUCGAAAAAAAAUGUGAUUUUUCAACAUGU